AGGGAAGCAGCCCUGCUCGGCGCCAGGGCUGCGGCGCAGCCGGCGCGCAGGUUCCUGUGCAGCCCCGGCAGAGCAAACUUGCCGAGUCAGGAGGCGAGAGCGGCAGCAGACGGCUUUGCUGCAGUCAUGGCAAAGGGCUCUGCUUUCCUCCUGGCCCUGCGCGCUCACUGAAUUUCCGUCUGGCCUGAAACUAGGCUCAUCAGCUGAAUAUUUUUUCAGGGAAUGAAAGGGAAUGGGGUAAAAAUCAUAAUACCAGCUAUAUCUACCUCCAGCUUUCUUGAUUGCGCACAGUUGCUCUGGACCGGCACUUUACACUGUCUUCCAAAAUCUGUAGAGCCUCCAUCUCUGCCAGUUUGUUUUCUGUCUUCAGUUGAUGCUAUUUUUUCCCUUUUUUUUUUCCUCCUAACUGCACAUCUUCAUUACUGGGAAAAAAACUUUCAAAGUUGGGGUUGGAUUUGUGUGCCUUCAGAUCAUACAAGUGAGAAAGUAAAAUAGAAAACUGAUCUUGAAAACUGAGGCUGGCUCCAUGUAUCCGGAAUCGACCACUGACUCCCCUGCUAGACUCUCGCUGAGACAGACGGGCUCUCCAGGGAUGAUUUACAGCGCUAGGUAUGGGAGCCCCAAGCGACAGCUCCAGUUCUACAGGGAGAAAUUCUGCCUUUUG